rnacentral:rRNA from 1 species
AUCAGUAAGCGGAGGAAAAGAAACUAACUAGGAUUCCCCGAGUAGCGGCGAGCGAAAGGGGAGAAGCCCAGCGCCGAAGCCCGCGGCCCUCCGGCCGUCGUGCAAUGUGGCGUUUCGGCGGCGACUCGCAGCGUCCGCACUGGCACGCGUACCUCUGAAUGGGUCUGCCCGCAGCGGGUGUCAGGCCUCUACUUGCCAGCGGGUGCGGACGAGGCAUGUCGUCGUCGCGGAGUCGGGUUGCUUGAGAGUGCAGCCCAAAGUGGGUGGUAAGCUCCAUCUAAGGCUAAAUACCUAGUGCGAGACCGAUAGCAAACAAGUACCGUGAGGGAAAGUU